rnacentral:rRNA from 1 species
GGAGUACGGCCGCAAGGUUAAAACUCAAAUGAAUUGACGGGGGCCCGCACAAGCGGUGGAGCAUGUGGUUUAAUUCGAUGCAACGCGAAGAACCUUACCUGGUCUUGACAUCCACAGAACUUUCCAGAGAUGGAUUGGUGCCUUCGGGAACUGUGAGACAGGUGCUGCAUGGCUGUCGUCAGCUCGUGUUGUGAAAUGUUGGGUUAAGUCCCGCAACGAGCGCAACCCUUAUCCUUUGUUGCCAGCGGUUCGGCCGGGAACUCAAAGGAGACUGCCAGUGAUAAACUGGAGGAAGGUGGGGAUGACGUCAAGUCAUCAUGGCCCUUACGACCAGGGCUACACACGUGCUACAAUGGCAUAUACAAAGAGAAGCGACCUCGCGAGAGCAAGCGGACCUCAUAAAGUAUGUCGUAGUCCGGAUUGGAGUCUGCAACUCGACUCCAUGAAGUCGGAAUCGCUAGUAAUCGUAGAUCAGAAUGCUACGGUGAAUACGUUCCCGGGCCUUGUACACACCGCCCGUCACACCAUGGGAGUGGGUUGCAAAAGAAGUAGGUAGCUUAACCUUCGGGAGGGCGCUUACCACUUUGUGAUUCAUGACUGGGGUGAAGUCGUAACAAGGUAACCGUAGGGGAACCUGCGGUUGGAUCACCUCCUUACCUUAAAGAA